UACAGAGGGUGCGAGCGUUGUCCGGAAUCACUGGGCGUAAAGGGCGCGUAGGUGGCCCGCCCAGUCACUGGUGAAAGCUCGACGCUCAACGUCGAGUCGGCCAGUGAUACUGUUGGGCUGGAGCACUGUAGAGGCAGAUGGAAUUCCGGGUGUAGCGGUGGAAUGCGUAGAGAUCCGGAAGAACACCGGUGGCGAAGGCGGUCUGCUGGGCAGUAGCUGACACUGAGGCGCGACAGCGUGGGGAGCAAACAGG
rnacentral:rRNA from 1 species